AAGGUAGUGGAAAGGAUUAUAGAAAAGAUAGGUGAAAAGACGGAAGUGGAAAGUAUAAACAGGAUAGCAGGAAGGAGUGAUAUGGUAGUGGUGAAAAUAGGAAGCUUAAAACAGAAGAUGGGCAUAAUGGCCAAUAAGUACAAGCUCAAGAGAGAAAAGGAAAGGUUGGACGAUCUCACAGAGAGGGAGCGGGAAAUGCAAAGAGAACUAAGAAAAAUUGCGGAGAAGAAACGGAAAAAAGGAAGGAGGACGUGGAUAAGAUAUGGGAAGAUCCUGAUAGAUGAUGUAUGGUGGAAAUGGGAUGAGGAGGGAAAUGUGCUAAAGACUUGGGGAAUUAGAAGGGAGGAGGAGAGGAGUGAAGAGAAGUAGCUGGAGGUAGAGAAGGCAGGAAAGAAGGAAGCGAAAGGAGUAGGAGGAAAUGAAAAGAGAAUGGAGGAAAAAGGAAAAAAGGGUGAGAGUAAUUGGAAAGUGGUGUUCUGGAAUGUGGCAGGAUUAGAUAAAAUAUAUGAUA